AGCCAGGUGCGCUCACACUUGGUUAUUUCUGCUCAAUGGUUAACUAAAUAGCCGCAGUACCCUGACUGUGCAAAGGUAGCAUAAUCAUUUGGCUUAUAAUUGAAGUCUGGCAUGAAGGAAAUCAUGGGUAGUAACUGUCUUCUAUAAAUUAUUAGAAUUUACUAAAUAGGUGAAAAUACCUAUAAAUUAAUAAUAGACGAGAAGACCCUAGAAAUUUUAAUAUAAAAGUAUUUUAAACUUACUAUUUUGUUGGGGCGACAGAAUAACAGAUGAACUUAUUUUAUUAUAUUUGUACUAAUUUUUGCGUAAAAUUAAAUUACUCUAGGGAUAACAGCAUAAUUUAAUUAAAGUUUGUGACCUCGAUGUUGGACUAGGGUUUUUAAUAGUCAGAAGUUAUUAAACUAGGCUCUGUUCGAGCUCCAUUCCCU
rnacentral:rRNA from 1 species